GCCAGUCUGGUGUAGUGGUUUGAGCAUUAGACUACGACUCUGGAUACCAAGAUUCAAAUCCUCGCUCAGCCA